AGGUCCACCUCCUGUUCUCACUCAUGAUGAAAGUGGUAAUCAUGAUUAUAAUACUGAACACCAAUAUAAUGAACCUCCUCCAUCUUGGGAUAAUCGUUCACAAUCAUACACAGAUUACAGUAAAGGCUCCAGUGAAUCUUACGAUGAUGAUUAUUACCAGGAGGGCCAAAAUGUAGAUACAGAUAAUAUAUAUCAGGGUGUGUAUGGCCAGUAUCCAGAAUACAAUGCAACUUCUGAAGGGUUUAUAGCAGUAAUUAUCAAAAGCACCAGCAGUAUGAUGAUGAAUAUCCAAAUCAGUAUCAACAAGAAGAGUACAGUGAAGGUUAUGAAGAUUAUCAAGAUCAACAUAACUCUGAAGGUAUAGGGAAUAAACAAGGGUGUUAGAAGCAGACUAGCUGGACGCCUGUCUUUCAACCACAAUCCUCAUCAUCUUCAGGUUAAAGUAAUGCAGUCAUCUCCACAAGAGCCAGUAACAUCUGUUACUCAUAACCAAGUUGGACAAAAAAUCCAGACAGUUCAAAGACGGGACUGGGAAAAUUUCACGGAAAUUUCGUAGAAUCACUCGAAAGAACAUAAAGGGCGAUGUAGUGUCUGUUAAAAAGAUUCCUGUUGAUGAAGAAGGUAACCAGAUUGGCCCACCAAUAACAGAAUUUGAUAUCAGCGACUUAGUCACAGAUGGAAUGGAUAAUCCAACAUCUUUAUUUAAUCAACAGCAACAACGUGUACCUGUAGUCAAGACCUUGCGACAAAUAGUAGAAAGGUGCCAGUUUCUCAGCAACAACAGCAACAGCAGUCACAAUCUCAAAUCAAGCUAAGGGAUGCUCCACAGAUUAGUCAGUCCACACAGCAGCAGCAGCAGCAGCAGCAGCAGCAGCAGCAACAGCAACAACAGCAGCAACAGCAGCAAAAAACAGCAACAAGUUAAAUUUGUAAAGAGGACAGUUGUUUCUUCAGAUGUGUCAUCACAGUCAAAUACAGCAGGUCGGCGCAUAGUGACAGCAGGCACACAGCAGUCAGUGAGUGGUGGAGUUGUGCAUCGCCCAGGUGGUGGCAUUCGUCGGGUAAUCAGUUCAACCUCCUCGUCUAAAUCAGCUGAUGGACAUGACCUCCCACUGUCCAGCUAUGUGAUUUGCCAACCAAUCUCACUUUGUCAGAUAUCAAUCAA